GAUGAACGCUGGCGGCGUGCUUAACACAUGCAAGUCGAACGAUUAACCCAAACUUCGGUUUGGUUAUAAAGUGGCGAACGGGUGAGUAACACGUGACCAACCUGCCUUCUAGAUCGGGAUAACUCAAGGAAACUUGUGCUAAUACCGGAUACUCCGGAGCAAUCGCAUGGUAGCUUCGGGAAAGCUUUUGCGCUAGAAGAUGGGGUCGCGGCCUAUUAGGUAGUUGGUGGGGUAGAGGCCUACCAAGCCUGCGAUAGGUAGCCGGGUUGAGAGACUGAUCGGCCACAUUGGGACUGAGAUACGGCCCAGACUCCUACGGGAGGCAGCAGUGGGGAAUUUUGCGCAAUGGGGGCAACCCUGACGCAGCAACGCCGCGUGCGGGAUGAAGGUCUUCGGAUUGUAAACCGCUUUCAGUAGGGAAUAAGUAUGAAGGUAC
rnacentral:rRNA from 1 species